UAAAAUGUCGCGCGCUUUGUUCGCCUAAUGGCCUAAAUCAAUAGAUGCAGCAAAAACGAACUAGUAAUAUUAUUUUAGAUAUUUGAGGAAUGUAACAAAUUGUUUAUAAUGCCACAUAGAUGUUAUUCCGUAAUCUUUGGUCUUUUGCUAUCAUUUAUUGUAACCGCUGAUUGCGUACAUAAUAUUGUUAAACAAAUUAUUGGUAAACAAGAUGAUGGGAUUGUUGAACAAAAAAAUAUUUCAGUAGUAACUACAGAAUUAACUGUUUUUGAUGGUGUAUUGAUGCCCAAAGUUAUAGCGGUACGUGGCGACUUGCCGUCGGUGGCGUCAACUACGCCGUCAUGGAGCGUCAAAAAAGUGUUUGGCGAUGGGGGCGGUGUUUUCAGUAAAGUGUUUCAAAGAAUAUUUUCCAACAAAAGGUUUGUAGGCAUGGACUCAGAAUGGUAUUGGAAA